rnacentral:rRNA from 1 species
CCUAUACAUGCAGUCGAGCGAAUGGAUUAAGAGCUUGCUCUUAUGAAGUUAGCGGCGGACGGGUGAGUAACACGUGGGUAACCUGCCCAUAAGACUGGGAUAACUCCGGGAAACCGGGGCUAAUACCGGAUAACAUUUUGAACCGCAUGGUUCGAAAUUGAAAGGCGGCUUCGGCUGUCACUUAUGGAUGGACCCGCGUCGCAUUAGCUAGUUGGUGAGGUAACGGCUCACCAAGGCAACGAUGCGUAGCCGACCUGAGAGGGUGAUCGGCCACACUGGGACUGAGACACGGCCCAGACUCCUACGGGAGGCAGCAGUAGGGAAUCUUCCGCAAUGGACGAAAGUCUGACGGAGCAACGCCGCGUGAGUGAUGAAGGCUUUCGGGUCGUAAAACUCUGUUGUUAGGGAAGAACAAGUGCUAGUUGAAUAAGCUGGCACCUUGACGGUACCUAACCAGAAAGCCACGGCUAACUACGUGCCAGCAGCCGCGGUAAUACGUAGGUGGCAAGCGUUAUCCGGAAUUAUUGGGCGUAAAGCGCGCGCAGGUGGUUUCUUAAGUCUGAUGUGAAAGCCCACGGCUCAACCGUGGAGGGUCAUUGGAAACUGGGAGACUUGAGUGCAGAAGAGGAAAGUGGAAUUCCAUGUGUAGCGGUGAAAUGCGUAGAGAUAUGGAGGAACACCAGUGGCGAAGGCGACUUUCUGGUCUGUAACUGACACUGAGGCGCGAAAGCGUGCGGAGCAAACAGGAUUAGAUACCCUGGUAGUCCACGCCCUAAACGAUGAGUGCCAACUGUUAUAGGGUGUCCGCCCGUUAUUGCUGAAG